AUGGAGAGUAGCGAUCAGUCCAAUCCAAGGAAGAACCGCAGCAAUCGAGUUGCCCCUCCGGAGAGUCUAGGGCGCCUGCUCCAGCAGCUCAAGGAGGAGAAGGAAAAACUCAAGGAGUCGGAGUCGGAGUCGUCGGAGGCCACGUCGGAACGAGUUAAUUCACUCCGGGAGGAAAUCAGGACGCUGCGCCUCGAGCUGUUUGGUGGUCAGGGAGGAGCCCGCGGCAUGCCGGAGCAGCCCAUGAUUCGUCCGUCGCCUCGUGAUCAGUCUACGUCGAUGGAAGGAAAAUCUACUCGGCAGUCUCAGCCUGUUUCUUGCCGACCCCAUGAGAACGAGAUCGGUCAGUCUCGUCGUGGCAGCAAGAAGGGGAAACACGGAGGUAGUGCGGGUGCCGCCGCUCCGACGGCGAGGCCCAACCAUGAUUCAGCCAUGGAUCAGCAGCAGGUCCAAGACCAAGGCUACCACGAAAAGGUUGAUGUCUCUGGUGGUGACGGUGAUGAUGAUAUGAAGAAGGAUAUGGACAGAGGCAAAUCGGCCCAGCAAAUAGCCAAAGAGGAGGAGGAGAUGGCCUUUGAGGCCAAGACCUUUGCCUCGUACCGUACAAGCUGGGAAUCUAACUGGGGAGCGAGUGGUCGCGCGUUCUUCGAGGACACGAGUGAGUUCUACUGA
rnacentral:rRNA from 1 species